rnacentral:rRNA from 1 species
GAUGAACGCUGGCGGCGUGCCUAAUACAUGCAAGUCGAGCGAACGGACGAGAAGCUUGCUUCUCUGAUGUUAGCGGCGGACGGGUGAGUAACACGUGGAUAACCUACCUAUAAGACUGGGAUAACUUCGGGAAACCGUAGCUAAUACCGGAUAAUAUUUUGAACCGCAUGGUUCAAAAGUGAAAGACGGUCUUGCUGUCACUUAUAGAUGGAUCCGCGCUGCAUUAGCUAGUUGGUAAGGUAACGGCUUACCAAGGCAACGAUGCAUAGCCGACCUGAGAGGGUGAUCGGCCACACUGGAACUGAGACACGGUCCAGACUCCUACGGGAGGCAGCAGUAGGGAAUCUUCCGCAAUGGGCGAAAGCCUGACGGAGCAACGCCGCGUGAGUGAUGAAGGUCUUCGGAUCGUAAAACUCUGUUAUUAGGGAAGAACAUAUGUGUAAGUAACUGUGCACAUCUUGACGGUACCAAAUCAGAAAGCCACGGCUAACUACGU